UGAGGAAUCUUGCGCAAUGGGGGCAACCCUGACGCAGCAACGCCGCGUGAGUGAGGAAGGCCUUCGGGUCGUAAAGCUCUGUCGGAUGGAAAGAAACGGAUGCGGGUUAACAGCCUUCAUCCCUGACGGUACCAUCAGAGGAAGCACCGGCUAACUCCGUGCCAGCAGCCGCGGUAAUACGGGGGGUGCAAGCGUUGUUCGGAAUCAUUGGGCGUAAAGCGCGUGUAGGCGGCUUGGUAAGUCAGGUGUGAAAGCCCUGGGCUCAACCCAGGAAGUGCACUUGAUACUGCCUUGCUUGAGUACGGGAGAGGAAAGCGGAAUUCCUGGUGUAGAGGUGAAAUUUGUAGAUAUCAGGAGGAACACCGGUGGCGAAGGCGGCUUUCUGGCCCAAUACUGACGCUGAGACGCGAAAGCGUGGGGAGCAAACAG
rnacentral:rRNA from 1 species